AUUGAACGCUGGCGGCAGGCCUAACACAUGCAAGUCGAACGAGUGGCGGACGGGUGAGUAAUGUCUGGGAAACUGCCUGAUGGAGGGGGAUAACUACUGGAAACGGUAGCUAAUACCGCAUACCAUCAGAUGUGCCCAGGUGGGAUUAGCUAGUUGGUGGGGUAACGGCUCACCAAGGGGACGAUCCCUAGCUGGCCUGAGAGGAUGACCGGCCACACUGGGACUGAGACACGGCCCAGACUCCUACGGGAGGCAGCAGUGGGGAAUAUUGCGCAAUGGGCGAAAGCCUGACGCAGCCACGCCGCGUGUAUGAAGAAGGUUUUCGGGUCGUAAAGCUCUGUCAGCGGGGAGGCGUUAUCUGCACAAAAAGCACCGGCUAACUACGUGCCAGCAGCCGCGGUAAUAC
rnacentral:rRNA from 1 species